rnacentral:lncRNA from 1 species
AUGCUACUGGAAACCCAUGGGAGGAAGAAAUAGAUUACACAUAUGUUAUUAUAGGAGUUACUCUGGGAGCAGUUCUAGCAAUCGGUUUUCUGGCAGUAAUAAUGUGCAUGAUCAAAGCCAAAAUGAUUGACAGUGGCUUUGGAGAGUCAGAUGGCAAAAUGGAUAGAAGGUCAAACACGGGAUCAAGCCAAAACAGAGAUGACAGCAAUACAAUAAGAAACCAAAGUACAAGAGAUCAAUAACCCUUUUGCAAUCAACAGUUACCUGGUCUGAGGAUCAAUAGGAGCCUCUUGUGCACGGGCAGGAAUCCCAACAAUACCAAUCCUUUUCUUUGUUCUUUAGUUGAAAGGCUGAUUGAUUAUUUACAGGAAGAGUUUAUAGUGCAGCUAACUUCAAUCACCUGCACCCAAAAGGCCUGCAAUCCCCCUCAGCAUGUCUAUGCAGGAGAUGUGUGAGGAAAAUAAAAUAGAUGAGCUCUGUUCA